rnacentral:tRNA from 1 species
GGCCUCGUAGCAUAACUGAAUAGUGCACCACAUUACGGCUGUGGAGGUUGCAGGUUUGAAUCCUGCCGAGGUCACAA